AUGGAUCGUUCAAACCUUCA
rnacentral:misc_RNA from 1 species